AUUGGCCAAAGGGGGAAGGAGCGAUCUGAUUGGCUUGUCUCUUUUUCAACUGUGUCCACCUGCGUUCUUUUCUCAAAUAACAAGCAUCACGCAGAGCUAAAACAUAAAACUUUUAUCAUAAGAAAUUAUUUACUAAACUACAGGCAAAAGAUCCUGUAAGACAAUCGACUAUUGAUACUACAAUCUUUAAACGCAUUGUUUGACGAUUUGGCAUAGGUUAGCAGUUAAAAAGUUUAUUACGGGAUUAUUUCAGACUUUUUUUUUUUUUGCAGAUAAAUGUAUUUAUUAUUUACACGUAAUUAUUAGCCAAAAUAAGUUUCGUAAAUUUUUAUUAUCUUUUAAAAGACAAGAUUUUGUUCUAGGGAUUUGCUGUACCUAGUGAAGAGCCCAUUCCUCGUAGAAUGACGUCAAUAUCGAUAAAGGCAAAACGCACCCCGGAGCGCUAUUGUACGGAUCUUUCUCUCCGCUGAUAGCCGGCCGGAGCGCGGCUGGACCCGAACUGCCUCCCUGCGGAACUCCUGCUGGAAUGGUUUGAGUGCGCUGAGCGCAGCAGAGGUUAGAGUAGCAGAUAAAAAGGGGAAUGAGGGUGCCGAGCGCGCUUUUUUUUUUUUUUUUUUUU